GAGAAUGCCGGUGUGAGUAGCGAAAGACGGGUGAGAAUCCCGUCCACCGAUUGACUAAGGUUUCCAGAGGAAGGCUCGUCCGCUCUGGGUUAGUCGGGUCCUAAGCUGAGGCCGACAGGCGUAGGCGAUGGAUAACAGGUUGAUAUUCCUGUACCACCUAUAAUCGUUUUAAUCGAUGGGGGGACGCAGUAGGAUAGGCGAAGCGUGCGAUUGGAUUGCACGUCUAAGCAGUAAGGCUGAGUAUUAGGCAAAUCCGGUACUCGUUAAGGCUGAGCUGUGAUGGGGAGAAGACAUUGUGUCUUCGAGUCGUUGAUUUCACACUGCCGAGAAAAGCCUCUAGAUAGAAAAUAGGUGCCCGUACCGCAAACCGACACAGGUAGUCAAGAUGAGAAUUCUAAGGUGAGCGAGCGAACUCUCGUUAAGGAACUCGGCAAAAUGACCCCGUAACUUCGGGAGAAGGGGUGCUCUUUAGGGUUAACGCCCAGAAGAGCCGCAGUGAAUAGGCCCAAGCGACUGUUUAUCAAAAACACAGGUC
rnacentral:rRNA from 1 species